rnacentral:rRNA from 1 species
UGGGGAAUAUUGCACAAUGAGGGAAACCCUGAUGCAGCGACGCCACGUGAACGAAGAAGGUAUUCGUAUCGUAAAGUUCUGUCCUAUGGGAAGAUAAUGACAGUACCAUAGAAGAAAGCUCCGGCUAAAUACGUGCCAGCAGCCGCGGUAAUACGUAUGGAGCGAGCGUUGUCCGGAAUUAUUGGGCGUAAAGGGUACGCAGGCGGUUUAAUAAGUCGAAUGUUAAAGAUCGGGGCUCAACCCCGUAAAGCAUUGGAAACUGAUAAACUUGAGUAGUGGAGAGGAAAGUGGAAUUCCUAGUGUAGUGGUGAAAUACGUAGAUAUUAGGAGGAAUACCAGUAGCGAAGGCGACUUUCUGGACACAAACUGACGCUGAGGUACGAAAGCGUGGGGAGCAAACAGG